rnacentral:lncRNA from 1 species
UCCAGCUAUUCUCCACAUCUCAGGAGCAAGAAACCCUAGGGUUUCUUGCCGCCAGGUCCCAAAAAGGCAGGAGAAGCAAGGGGAGGCGCUAGCCCCCUCCCCCUUUGUGCUGCAAUCCCUUUGUCUCUCCCUCUCUUGCAGCCAUCUAAACAUCAGGUCCAAGACCUGGAAUCUCUUGAGAAGAAGUUGGUACAAGUUCCUCUCAGAUCUGGAGUUGAUCUGAGGUCAUUUGAGGCAUGGGUG